UUGAACGCUGGCGGCAGGCCUAACACAUGCAAGUCGAACGGUAACAGGAAGAAGCUUGCUUCUUUGCUGACGAGUGGCGGUCGGGUGAGUAAUGUCUGGGAAACUGCCUGAUGGAGGGGGAUAACUACUGGAAACGGUAGCUAAUACCGCAUAACGUCGCAAGACCAAAAAGGGGGACCUUCGGGCCUCUUGCCAUCGGAUGUGCCCAGAUGGGAUUAGCUAGUAGGUGGGGUAACGGCUCACCUAGGCGACGAUCCCUAGCUGGUCUGAGAGGAUGACCAGCCACACUGGAACUGAGACACGGUCCAGACUCCUACGGGAGGCAGCAGUGGGGAAUAUUGCACAAUGGGCGCAAGCCUGAUGCAGCCAUGCCGCGUGUAUGAAGAAGGCCUUCGGGUUGUAAAGUACUUUCAGCGGGGAGGAAGGGAGUAAAGUUAAUACCUUUGCUCAUUGACGUUACCCGCAGAAGAAGCACCGGCUAACUACGUG
rnacentral:rRNA from 1 species